GAUGAAGAACGUAGCGAAAUGCGAUAAGUAAUGUGAAUUGCAGAAUUCAGUGAAUCAUCGAAUCUUUGAACGCACAUUGCGCCCCUUGGUAUUCCGGGGGGCAUGCCCGUUCGAGCGUCAUUACACCCAUCAAGCUCAGCUUGGUGUUGGGGCCUGCUGCACUGGCAGCCCUUAAAAUCAGUGGCGGCGCCAUCUGGCUCUAAGCGUAGUAAUUCUUCUCGCUAUGGAGUCCUGGUGGAUGCUUGCCAUCAACCCCCAAUUUUUCUAUGGUUGACCUCGGAUCAGGUAGGGAUACCCGCUGAACUUAAGCAUAUCAAUAAGCGGAGGA
rnacentral:misc_RNA from 1 species